UAAUAAGUGUUUUAUGGCACUUUUUAAAUCCAUAUCCACCUUGUGUGCAUGUCAGUCGAUCUUCUUCAUGGAGAUCGACCAAACAUCAACCUUUAUCUUUUAACUCUUUGUCUGAAAAAUAUUAUGAAUAAACAAUUCAAAAUA
rnacentral:misc_RNA from 1 species